ACCGAAUUUCUGAACGUGGCUUGUGUUGGUCUCCCUCUUGAUAAUCUUGAAUUGCUGCAGCAAGGACUCAACAUCCAGGUUCGCCUUCAAUCAGAACAAAAAAAACUCCUAGUGAGUGGCUUCUAAAAUGGAGCAUAGAAGAAGAGGAUCUUCACCUUGUCAGAGUUUUCCAUCCAUUUGACGCUGUACACAUCUCCAAGGUAGGUCCUACGCUUCUGGUCGAAAUAACAUGCAUACGAGGACUCGUUGUAGCUGGAAGCCGUUGUUGCAUACACUGGUGAUAAAAAAUCACACGCAGAGCUCUAUUUAGACGAAAUGCUGUUGUAUAUACAGGGGUUGCUUCGUGGGUUCAAUAAAAUCAUAGCUCUAAGGGUAGAUUUUUUAAUAGGUUUUUAUAGUUUAGCCAUCAUUUGAAAAACCCUGGAUCUACUUAUGUACACUGGAAAUUAUCAAUCGCCCCCCCCCCCCCCCCCCUUCCUCAGUGCCAUUGAAAGGGAUUUUGAAAAAGGCAAUAUGCUUUAGUAGGUAUUUACCCAAUACAGAUUUUCGAGACCUGCAGAGGGUUAUCACAGACCCAAAUAAACAUGUCAAGGCUUUAGUGGCGAGUGUGGCCUGUUUAAAUAAUCUAUCUAUUAUAUUUUAGUUUGAUGUGUACUACAUAGUAAGGGUUUACACUAAUGUAGGUUGUCAUCUUACCUUUGAUGUCGUCAGGAAGAAGCUUCCUAAACAUGGACCCUGACUCACAGGCUUCAAUGUAGACAACCAUCUGAAACAAGAAAUAAAUUAACCUUGGCUCUG